CUGUGGAAAUUAUCACCCCUGUGGAGCUGAUCAAGAAGGGUGACAAAGUGGGCUCAUCCGAGUCUGCCCUUCUUGCCAAGCUGGGUAUCCGCCCUUUCUCAUAUGGUCUUCAGGUCAUCAAUGUCUAUGAGGAUGGGUCAGUCUUCAGCCCUGAGGUGCUUGACCUGACUGAGGAGGACCUCAUUGAGAAGUUUGCCACUGGUGUCUCCAUGGUUGCCUCUCUGUCCCUGGCGCUCUCGUACCCAACCCUUGCUGCCGCGCCCCACAUGUUCAUCAAUGGGUACAAGAAUGUGCUUGCUGUUGCUGUGGAGACAGACUACUCGUACCCGCAUGCUGACAAGAUCAAGGAGUACCUCAAGGUAAAUAUGGCUACUGUCCGUAGUUUUCAUUAACUUGUAUCUGCUGUGGUUGCUAGUUUCCAAUGAGUUGGAAUUUGUUUUCUACGGAUUUAAUUAACAUGCAUGUCCUACUUUCCUUUGCACGUGGCCUUAAAGUUCGGUAGAAAUGAGAGUAUACAGUGAUUAGUGUAUGUUUGCAAGUUGGUGUUCGAGCUGAACCUAAUUAUGUGGUGAUGUUGGUUUGCAGGACCCGAGCAAGUUUGCUGCUGCUGCCCCGGUCGCUUCUGCGGACGCUGGUGCUGCGGCUGCUCCCAAGGAAGAAGAGAAGAAGGCGGAAGAGCCUGCUGAGGAGUCGGAUGAUGACAUGGGCUUCAGCCUGUUCGACUAGAAGCGUCAAGCUGCUGCAAGUUUUGGCAUUUGU
rnacentral:lncRNA from 1 species